GUGCUCACUUUGGCAGCACAUGUGCUAAAAUUGAACAGUACAGAGAAGAUGAGCAUGGCCCCUGCACAAGGAUGACACGCAGAUGCGGGAAGUGUUCCAUAUCAUU